UGCGUAGGCGGCUUGGUAAGUCAGGGGUGAAAUCUGUCGGCUCAACCGGCAAACUGCCCCUGAAACUGCCUGGCUUGAGUCCGGGAGAGGAAGGUGGAAUUCCUGGUGUAGCGGUGAAAUGCGUAAAUAUCAGGAGGAACACCGGUGGCGAAGGCGGCCUUCUGGUCCGGUACUGACGCUGAGGCACGAAAGCCGAGGGGAGCGAACG
rnacentral:rRNA from 1 species